AUUGAACGCUGGCGGCAUGCUUUACACAUGCAAGUCGAACGGUAACAGGCCUUCGGGCGCUGACGAGUGGCGAACGGGUGAGUAAUGCAUCGGAACGUGCCCAGUCGUGGGGGAUAACUAUCCGAAAGGAUAGCUAAUACCGCAUACGAUCUGCGGAUGAAAGCGGGGGACCUUCGGGCCUCGCGCGAUUGGAGCGGCCGAUGUCAGAUUAGGUAGUUGGUGGGGUAAAGGCUCCCCAAGCCAACGACCUGUAGCUGGUCUGAGGGGACGACCAGCCACACUGGGACUGAGACACGGCCCAGACUCCUACGGGAGGCAGCAGUGGGGAAUUUUGGACAAUGGGCGCAAGCCUGAUCCAGCAAUGCCGCGUGCAGGAAGAAGGCCUUCGGGUUGUAAACUGCUUUUGUACGGAACGAAACGGCCCUGGUUAAUACCUGGGGCUAAUGACGGUACCGUAAGAAUAAGCACCGGCUAACUACGUGCCAGCCGCCGCGGUAAUAC
rnacentral:rRNA from 1 species